CUGGUCUCUGCAGUGAUGGACAGGAACACCUGUGCACUUUAGGGAAGCAAAGCCUGCUACUCCCCAAAUCUUGAUAUUUGACUUCAUGCCAGCCUAGAAGAACCCAGAAGGUUGGGGAGUUUCCUGCGCCCCUACAAUAGGAAAACUGAUGGUGUCCAUGGCUCCUGGCUUACUUGCAGGACACGGUGGUCUUGUUACCCCGCGAUGGGGGUCUCUACCCGACAUGCACAGCUCACAUGAUGUCAGUGUGAGCUCGUGAGGAGGAAGGUGUGACUGGCCUGGCGUGUGGAUCCCCGCACCUGCGAUGCUGCUUUGUGGAACGUGGCACCGGCAUCUCCACGACGUUCCAGAUAAAGGUCCCGGCUGAGUCUGGAACUCAAGAACCUUCACUACGACUAUGGUCACUUCUCUUGGCACCAAAGACUAGAGGACGCAUAUGCUAACUCCACACUCCCCAAGAGACACCCCACUGCCCUUCGUGAGACAGGCCCCGCACUGUCCCUUGGCACCAGGUGGUUUCUGCAGCUCCUCCCUGGCUCCACAUAACCCUGCCUGUGUCACUCCAGGGAACAUGGGCUCCUGCUCUGAGCAUUGAACAAUCUGGCUCUUGGCUUAUCAGCACCCAGAGUGGGGUGGGUUCUCUCCUUGCACCUUCUGGGAGGCUGGGGUUCUUCCUGGAAAAUGGUGAGUUUUAGGCUUAGUGGGGGGGGGGGGGGCCAGGAGAGGGUGUGACAAGGCUCCUGUGGCCAGGCACCCACCGGGAAGGAACGCUAGCCUUCCCACUCCUUGGAAUAGGUGUGGCCACUCCUGCUGUCCCGUGCCACGAGGGAGGCUCAGCGGGGUGAGUGCCCAGAGCCACAGGCUCCUGGGUGGGUGUAGCUCAUGAUGAGGUGGGGAGACCUCCUAGAGCAGGAGGCACUGGACAGGCUGAAGGCCAGCCAGGAGGAAGAGGGCCAGCGUGAUGCUGACCUGAGAAAUCAUGGCUUUAGAAAAGGGACUUGUAUAAAGUACACGCCCUGGUCACUGUCGCGUCCAGCCCUAGUGUAACCCAUACUCUGGUCCCAAAGGGAACGUUAGAAGAGAAACUAUACAUGUCUGAGUAAUAGUCACUGCGGAUUAUACAGCUACUGAAACCUGCUUGGCAAUCUUCACAGUGGACAUUUUAAAAUCAUUCCCAGAGCAAACAAGCCUCCAGGCCAUGAAAUUUGCAUUUCUCUGAAGGCAAGUUCAUUGUAGAGAAGGAUUCACGUUGAGGAUGACACACCAAAUGUAAGCCACAGGCCUCACUCACCUCUGGAAGGGCGGGCUGGGCACUGCAUGUCUGCUUGAUGGCCUCCUCGUACCGGGGAGGGUCUUUUGUCUUGGUGACUGGGCUCCCAAACAGGGAAUGCUGGACGACGAACUGUUGGGGCGGAGGGGGUGAGCUAGGCUGUGGGAGACAGGAUGGCACGUGUCAGUGCUGGACUCUCAUGGCACCAAGUCAGGGGCCUCCCGGGCCCGGUGCGGGAGAAAGGUCACCGCCACUUGGUGACAGCCCAGCUGCCCCUUAAUCAUCAUCGUAUUUUCAGCCCAUUCACAUCGCGUCAUUCCAGGUCUGCAGCAUAGACUCGGGCUGACCUUACACCCCAGCGAGCAUGGUUAGGAGCCAGUAAUCGUCACAGGGUUACCUUGGUGGGCGUGUUAGGGCCGUUUUGCAGGGCUGGAAGUGGGGCGCUCCUGGGCUGAAGCACGCUGGCAGACGUCUUGUUGAUAAAGGGCUGCUGGACCCCGGGCGCAGGUGACCUCUGGUACGGGAGGGCUGUGUUUGAUGCUGAGUUUGUGAAAACCUAAAAUGGUAAAUAUUUUCCAUCAAUUUCUCUUUUGUUUUUCCUAAUAAAGAAAACCAUGUUUAGAGUGGGGGUCAGAAAGCUCUGUGACGGGUCAUGGAGCAUACAGUGUGGGGUUCGCAGGCCACACCCUGAAGCCCAGAGGCAGCGGGGCCAACACGUGGCCCAUGGGGGUGGCCGGUCCCCAUCUCCCUACCCGGGGCCUGUGUGACGGCAGCAAAGCGUGGCUCAGUCCACUUUCCCGCUGAAAGGACAGCUGCCUUCCCCACCUUCCUCGCAGGGGCAGUCACCUGCUCUCCCCGCUCCAGUGUUCACGCGCUAACGAUCCCGUGCCACCUGGCUCCCGACCGCCAAAGCCACGUGUGUAAACAUAAAUGUGGGACAUCUCCUAUUUGAUAUAUUCCAAAGUAAACGCUCCCCUCCCCUCUCCCCCCAACAUUUGUAUUAUAAAGUAUUUUUCUAAAAAGUGGAAGUAUGCGUGUUUAUGAUGCAGGCCGCUCUGUAGAUACUGCCUUUUCCCCGCAACAGCACGAGCUCCCGCCAUCUGUGUCCGCCGGAGAGUGAAGACCUGAUUCUUACACGCACUGGGAAUCCAAGAAACCCGUGGCGCUCUCCCCUGCUCACUGUGGGGGGUGGCACCAAGCCCCGGGCUCUCCAAGGUGCGCCUGCUCAUCCUGCCGACGGGGUCUUGACGGGGACUCCUCUUGAACAAGCUGAAUUUCAUUAUAAUUGGGGGAAAAAUUGCUUCCUUUGAAUUGGAAGUAGUGAGUCCUAAGUCAAGAAUUUUGACAUUUAGUGAAUGAACCCUCAUUUCCGGCCUCUGUUGUUUUUCUCUGACUGAACAUUUGCUACACUGAAGUGUCACCUUGAGCCCAGACUAAGUGCUCU